rnacentral:rRNA from 1 species
AUUGAACGCUGGCGGCAUGCUUUACACAUGCAAGUCGAACGGUAACAGGGUGCUUGCACCGCUGACGAGUGGCGAACGGGUGAGUAAUGCGUCGGAACGUGCCGAGUAGUGGGGGAUAACGCAGCGAAAGUUGUGCUAAUACCGCGUAUGUACUGAGGUAGAAAGUGGGGGACCUUCGGGCCUCACGCUAUUCGAGCGGCCGACGUCUGAUUAGCUAGUAGGUGAGGUAAAGGCUCACCUAGGCGACGAUCAGUAGCGGGUCUGGGAGGAGGAUCAGCCACACUGGGACUGAGACACGGCCCAGACUCCUACGGGAGGCAGCUGUGGGGAAUUUUGGACAAUGGGCGAAAGCCUGAUCCAGCCAUGCCGCGUGUCUGAAGAAGGCCUUCGGGUUGUAAAGGACUUUUGUCAGGGAGGAAAUCCCUAGCGUUAAUACCGCUGGGGGAUGACAGUACCUGAAGAAUAAGCACCGGCUAACUACGUGCCAGCAGCCGCAGUAACAC